ACAAAAUAUACCACUGGCACCUCUCCCUCCCUCCCGUUAUCCAAUCUCGUCUGAACCCUUUUCGACCCUUCUCUCUCCCUCAAUUUCGCUCCCAAUUUGAUAAUGCGAUUGCAAUCGCCGCGAUUUGAGUCACCAUUUCUGAAUUCGUCGGGGUUUGAUCGGACUAGGAAUUUAUGACAUCGCGGUGGCGACGGAGGAGGAGGCUAGGUUAGGAUUUUGAGUUUUUGGGAGCUAUCUGCUCGAAAUUGGUGACAAUGGCGCCGAGGCUCGGCUCCGGCGACGUUUUUGAUAGCUACAGCUCCGACCUUGGAUCGAUGACUGAUCGCUUAGGGUUCCGGUCCUCCCAUUCGCUCUCAAAACGCCUUCAAUGUUGUGAUUCGCUCACUUGAAGAGUACCGGUUUGCUAAGCAAGAGGAUGAAGAGAUACGGAUUUGGUCGAAGGUCUCCUCAGCCCAUGGAUGGUUUGUAUUUUCAACACUAACAGCAUCUUUUACUGUUUUGAUUUCUUAAUUUUUGUGUUGCGUAGUUGAUCUGGAUAAUUGAGGUUUCUGCGAAAUUGGUGCAGUUGUGUGAUUAGAGUGUAAGUGAAUGGAUUUUUUGUAGGCUUUUGUUUGAUACAUGUUGAUUACAGAUGAAGCAUAGACGUAAUGUUUAGAAUUUCAUGUCCUGCUGCUUGCUGGGAUCUCAUUGAGUCUAUGAAAUCUGUAACAUGUGCAUCUUUACAUGGUCUUGUUUUUGUUUUGAUUUUUAUGGCAUUUGAUGUUUAUAGUAGCUCAAGUAGAGCCGGCUAGUAUAGUUGAUAAUCAGCCAAUGGAGGAGCUAGCCUCUAACCGUGAAAUUCACUUGGACAAUUGAGAACUUGUCUAGGUUGAACGCCAAAAAGCACUACUGUGACAUUUUCAUUGUUGGUGGUUAUAAAUGGUAUUCUUCCCUUGACAAUCAUCGUAUGGUCUAAUUUAGCUCUUGAGCUAGAGAUGGGAUUUUACUAGCACAGGGAUGUGUUAUUUGUAUAAAUUUGUAUUCUUAUGCUUCUUUGGGAUUUAGGUAGUUUUCAUAGUAUUUUAUAUUCUAGAAAAUGUAUUCAAUCAAAGAUGAUGGUUGCCAUGAUUCUUUUGUGUUGAUGGUGCCAAUUUCGAGUUGGUUGGCUUUAAAAAUGCAGAUUGGCUAUUGCCUUGUCCAUGGGGUCAGCAUGGCGUAGACAACAACUAUUCAUUCUCAUCCACUGAAGAGAGAUGGAAAGGCUUAUAAGAAGCCAAAACGUCCUCAUGAGAAGGAACAUUUGGAUGUUGAGCUGAACCUUGUUGGAGAAUAUGGGCUUCGGUGCAAGAGGGAGUUGUGGAGGGUCCAAUAUGCUUUGAGCCUCAUCUGUAAUGCUGUCAGGAAAUUUCUUACCCUGGACGAGAAAAAUCCUUGCCAUAUCUUUGAGGGUGAGGCUCUUCUACGUACGCAGGAUGAACAUGUAUGGGCUCCUAGAAGAGAGCCAGAACAAGCUCGAUUAUGUCCUUGCACUCACUGUCCAGAACUUCCUUGAGAGGCGUCUUUAGACCCAGUUGUGGUUAUUUUUUGUUUUGUUUAAUGUGCUUAUCAGAGGUUGUCUAAUUGGAAAAGGUGUUGUGGUUGUACUUUGACUAAAAUCACUUGAAAUCUUCUUACUAAUGAUUGAGCUUACAAUUU